rnacentral:pre_miRNA from 1 species
UUUACAAGUAGACUCUAUCAGCCUUGUCCUGAUAUAACAUUUGAAUAACUGGUUGAAAAGUUUUUAGAUGCCUGCCAUGGAUUGCCAUUAUCACUUAAAGGGAUUGGAGCGCUUAUUUGUAGA